AGAUUGAACGCUGGCGGCAGGCCUAACACAUGCAAGUCGAGCGGCAGCACGGGUACUUGUACCUGGUGGCGAGCGGCGGACGGGUGAGUAAUGCCUAGGAAUCUGCCUGGUAGUGGGGGAUAACGCUCGGAAACGGACGCUAAUACCGCAUACGUCCUACGGGAGAAAGCAGGGGACCUUCGGGCCUUGCGCUAUCAGAUGAGCCUAGGUCGGAUUAGCUAGUUGGUGAGGUAAUGGCUCACCAAGGCGACGAUCCGUAACUGGUCUGAGAGGAUGAUCAGUCACACUGGAACUGAGACACGGUCCAGACUCCUACGGGAGGCAGCAGUGGGAAUAUUGGACAAUGGGCGAAAGCCUGAUCCAGCCAUGCCGCGUGUGUGAAGAGGUCUUCGGAUUGUAAAGCACUUUAAGUUGGAGGAAGGCGUAGUUAACCUAAUACGUAAUCUGUUUGACGUUACCGACAGAAUAAGCAACCGGCUAAACUCUAGCGA
rnacentral:rRNA from 1 species